CCACCCUUUUUAUUUUUAUUCCUGGUUCAGGACGAACGCCGGCGGCGUGCCUAAUACAUGCAAGUCGAGCGGACAGAUGGGAGCUUGCUCCCUGAUGUUAGCGGCGGACGGGUGAGUAACACGUGGGUAACCUGCCUGUAAGACUGGGAUAAUUCCGGGAAACCGGGGCUAAUACCGGAUGGUUGUCUGAACCGCAUGGUUCAGACAUAAAAGGUGGCUUCGGCUACCACUUACAGAUGGACCCGCGGCGCAUUAGCUAGUUGGUGAGGUAACGGCUCACCAAGGCGACGAUGCGUAGCCGACCUGAGAGGGUGAUCGGCCACACUGGGACUGAGACACGGCCCAGACUCCUACGGGAGGCAGCAGUAGGGAAUCUUCCGCAAUGGACGAAAGUCUGACGGAGCAACGCCGCGUGAGUGAUGAAGGUUUUCGGAUCGUAAAGCUCUGUUGUUAGGGAAGAACAAGUGCCGUUCAAAUAGGGCGGCACCUUGACGGUACCUAACCAGAAAGCCACGGCUAACUACGUGCCAGCAGCCGCGGUAAUACGUAGGUGGCAAGCGUUGUCCGGAAUUAUUGGGCGUAAAGGGCUCGCAGGCGGUUUCUUAAGUCUGAUGUGAAAGCCCCCGGCUCAACCGGGGAGGGUCAUUGGAAACUGGGGAACUUGAGUGCAGAAGAGGAGAGUGGAAUUCCACGUGUAGCGGUGAAAUGCGUAGAGAUGUGGAGGAACACCAGUGGCGAAGGCGACUCUCUGGUCUGUAACUGACGCUGAGGAGCGAAAGCGUGGGGAGCGAACAGGAUUAGAUACCCUGGUAGUCCACGCCGUAAACGAUGAGUGCUAAGUGUUAGGGGGUUUCCGCCCCUUAGUGCUGCAGCUAACGCAUUAAGCAUUCCGGCCUGGGAUUACGGCCGCC
rnacentral:rRNA from 1 species